rnacentral:rRNA from 1 species
UACGUGGAGGCGCAAGCGUUGUCCGGAAUUAUUGGGCGUAAAGAGCUCGUAGGCGGCCUGUCGCGUCCGCUGUGAAAUCCCGGGGCUUAACCCCGGGCGUGCAGUGGAUACGGGCUGGCUAGAGGCAGGCAGGGGAGAACGGAAUUCCCGGUGUAGCGGUGAAAUGCGCAGAUAUCGGGAGGAACACCGGUGGCGAAGGCGGUUCUCUGGGCCUUACCUGACGCUGAGGAGCGAAAGCGUGGGGAGCGAACAGG